CGACACCAGGAACAACAUUGUAAUGACUUGAUUAAUAUUCAUAUUUUCCAUUUUUUAGACACUUUUCUUUUAUUGAAAGGAAGUUAUCAUGGCGUUUAGUUGCUGUAUGAUCAAUUAUUAUAUUUUACAUAAUCAGAGUCCUCAUCAUAGUUGUAGCAUUUAGCCGUUUUAUAGUUAACUAGUUCAAAACCAUUCAAACGGGAAAACUAACGGUUAAAGGGUGGGGUGGGGUAGAAAAAAAAAAGAAAAAAUUUAAUCGAAAGAUAUAUUUAUGUUUCUUGCCGAAAAAAGUAAUAAAAUGGCGAAAAAUAUAUUGUUUUGGCGAAAGAGAUUGCUAAAAAACAUAAUUGCCCAGGGGGAUACCCAACUUUGGACCAUAUAGGUAUACAUAAGAAACGAUUCAAUAAUACAAUAAACAUUUCUAUAACAAUGACGGUUACAUGAAAUGUUUUAAUUUUAUAGUUCAAAAGGCUAACCAUAACAGCACAAGUUACAAGUUGUAACCCAUUUUCUUUCAAUUAAUUGUGUUUAUAUGGAUGUAACUGUUUUCUUUCUGUCUGUAGUAUCAAUGAUUAGACUCAUUAUAAUAUCGACGUUUUUGUCAGUAAGUUAAACAGUUGAACUCUUGUUUAACAGUUCAUUUAGAUAUUUUUGGAAGUUAUCUUCCAAGUCGGCAUUUUGCUGUCCAGUAAUAGUUAUCCCGCGAGGUCAUAAUACUUAUAUGGUCCGGAACACUCACAUUAGGUUGUUGACAUCCCGG
rnacentral:lncRNA from 1 species